GCAUGGUGUGUUGGGAAAGCCUUUGCGGCAUGGGAUGGGGUCGCGUCCUAUCAGCUUGAUGGCGGGGUAACGGCCCACCAUGGCUUCGACGGGUAGCCGGCCUGAGAGGGCGACCGGCCACAUUGGGACUGAGAUACGGCCCAGACUCCUACGGGAGGCAGCAGUGGGGAAUAUUGCACAAUGGGCGCAAGCCUGAUGCAGCGACGCCGCGUGAGGGAUGGAGGCCUUCGGGUUGUAAACCUCUUUUGUUAGGGAGCAAGGCAUUUUGUGUUGAGUGUACCUUUCGAAUAAGCACCGGCUAACUACGUGCCAGCAGCCGCGGUAAUACGUAGGGUGCAAGCGUUAUCCGGAAUUAUUGGGCGUAAAGGGCUCGUAGGCGGUUCGUCGCGUCCGGUGUGAAAGUCCAUCGCUUAACGGUGGAUCCGCGCCGGGUACGGGCGGGCUUGAGUGCGGUAGGGGAGACUGGAAUUCCCGGUGUAACGGUGGAAUGUGUAGAUAUCGG
rnacentral:rRNA from 1 species